GUUAAAACCCACAGGAGCACAACUCGUUUGAAAAUCAGUAAUUACCGUAAACUUUUUCGGGAGAAAAUUGAAUUUGAAUAUUACAUUUCAAUGUUUUUCUUAUUCCAGCGAAAUGUAUUUUAUUAAAUAACUCUGCGAGUUUUCAACAUUUUUCGUUCAAACUAGGUCAGAUAGUAGAACUAGUCUAAUGCUUUCAUGGAAACCAAUAAAAAAAUUUUAGGCAAAAUUAACACUCAAAG